GACUUUAGGUCUCCUGAAGGAACGUUGAAGACGACGACGUUGAUAGGCCGGGUGUGUAAGCGCAGCGAUGCGUUGAGCUAACCGGUACUAAUGAACCGUGAGGCUUAACCUUACAACGCCGAAG
rnacentral:rRNA from 2 species